rnacentral:misc_RNA from 1 species
AGUGCACACGAUGAUUUUUUUAUAUCUAUACUUACUACGGAGAUUACACAUUUCACCCACAAAGCAGAACGAGCAAAUCAAAAUCUGUUAAUUCCUAUUCUGCUUGUUUUCCGUUUUAGCGUAUUCAAUUUCUUGUACUCUUUACAAUUAUACACAUAUCCUUUUAUUUUCUUGCAAAAAAUUAUAUCUGUUGAAUCGAUCGAUUUACUUCUAUAUCACGAAACUAUACUGCGCGUUCUACCACACAUGACAAGCACACGUUACAUAAAUACCAUACAUCUACUACACAAUUAUAUGUAUAAAGGGCCUCGUUUAAGUAUCUUUCGUGAUGUAAACUAGGGAGAACUCAAUUAGAUUGGCUGGUGAAUGUUCAUAAAUUGUAAUGUCUUAAUGUAACAUUAUCAGUAGGAAGGAUAUAUAGCUAAAUGAUAUUUUUAAUAUCUGAAACGAUGCUAGGUAAAAGACAAAGGCAGAAGAAGAAAAAGAAAAGGAAAGAAAGGUAGGCUUCUUAUAUUACAAAACUUUAGCAUCGUUAGAGGAAAUUAUUUUCCCGUGGUUAAAUGGAGCGGUCUCUUUGAUCUUGCCAUGAUUAUAAUCAAGCUUUUCGCUUUCGUGAAUUUCAGGCUUACCCACUCGCAUUCGUAUGCAGUAUUGUGAACUCCUUCGGACUAUAUGCAUACAUGUGUGGUAAAGAGACUUUGAAUGAACAUCAAUAAAUGAUGCAACGAAUCAUGGAAAACGGUAUUAAGCAUCUCCACCUAUUUGACUUACUAACAUUUGUUCUGCCAAGAAAUAAAGAGACGUUUGAAGAAAUGUAUUUACAAAAUUACAGAAUAAGUAGGCCACUUGAAGUACGGUAAACCGCUCUUUCCCAGCGGAUAUCUAUACAUAUUUAAGAAAUAUCAGAAUUUAAAUAUCACUAUCAUUAACUUUACGAUUUGUUUCGCAAUUAUCUUUCAUAAUUCUAUAAAUCAAUUCACUUGCUGUGAUUAAUAAUAACCUAUAGAUACAGGCACAUAUGUUGAAAUUGAUCAACAAUACGAGAAAUAACAGCGUCGAUAUAUUUUCGAUCACGUUAAUCGCUCUAUAAUUAUAGUUGUGUAUAUUUAAUAAAAACAUAAUAUAAUACAUACGUAUUUGUAAAUUGGAAAGAAAAAUAAGAGAAAAUAACACAGACCUGUGUAACAAUGUUAAUCGAGAUUCAUAUAUAUCUGAUGAGUCGUAUGUGAUCUUCUAUAGUAGCUCCUAAAACGUGAUUAGAAGUUUCAUAUCCAUAUCUCGAAUCCUUCAUAUUUGCAAG